UGAUUUCAUGACGUCAUUUUCACGCCAACCCGUCAAACAGACCAACAACGGUGACGAAAAAAUAGAGAGAUUCUUCUCACAACGAUGAACUACAGCCCAUCCACAGUAAGGCUGAUUGUAAAGACAUUUUGCAUUCUUCACAACUUGAUGAGGAUCAGGUACCUCACCAUGCAGAAUAUACUGGUUGACCAUGAUGAUAGAAGAGGCGAUCUGGUUCCUGGGGAAUAGAGAAGAGGUCGCAACGUGGAGGAUACCAGGAAUGUCAAUAUCAGGGGCCACAACACAGCAACCAAAAAAGGCAAGGCUGUGAGAAACUCUCCAAAGCACUGGGUCAACUCUCCAGCGGGAUGUGUGCCAUUGCAAGACAGGAUGGCGCCACAUUAGAGAUUGAAAUUAAGUGUAACAUAUUAAUGGAAUAAAUUAAUAAAGAAUA